rnacentral:rRNA from 1 species
AUUGAACGCUGGCGGCAGGCCUAACACAUGCAAGUCGAGCGGAUGAAGGGAGCUUGCUUCUGGAUUCAGCGGCGGACGGGUGAGUAAUGCCUAGGAAUAUGCCUGGUAGUGGGGGAUAACGUCCGGAAAUGGGCGCUAAUACCGCAUACGUCCUGAGGGAGAAAGUGGGGGAUCUUCGGAUCUCACGCUAUCAGAUGAGCCUAGGUCGGAUUAGCUAGUUGGUGGGGUAAAGGCCUACCAAGGCGACGAUCCGUAACUGGUCUGAGAGGAUGAUCAGUCACACUGGAACUGAGACACGGUCCAGACUCCUACGGGAGGCAGCAGUGGGGAAUAUUGGACAAUGGGCGAAAGCCUGAUCCAGCCAUGCCGCGUGUGUGAAGAAGGUCUUCGGAUUGUAAAGCACUUUAAGUUGGGAGGAAGGGCAGUAAGUUAAUACCUUGCUGUUUUGACGUUACCAACAGAAUAAGCACCGGCUAACUUCGUG